UUUUGCAGCUUCUCUGUGGAAUUGGAAGAGGCACAGGAUGCUACUGGAUUCUUAGUAGCAGACCUAGGGCUUUUAAGUUCAAUACUAGGGCUCCCCUGCAGUGACAUGAGCCUUAGAUUGUACAUGGUUCCCUGUGAGCUCUGCUGUAUGAACCACCUGCCAGGGCCCUCAAGCUUAAAUCUCUUCAUGAUUCCUCAUUUGAGACAAGUAAAGAAACUUUUGGAAAAUAACAAAAGGCAAGACAAGAAACCUUACUUUGGACCUCCUUUGGCAACCAAAGCCAGAGCCAUUUUCUUUUUAUGGCAUACUUUUGCUUUCUGGACUUAAUGCUUAACUAUACAUAUCCUUUAAGACUUGACAACUCAAGGAAAAGCUGAGAGAUCUUUAAGGACAAAAAUGAUGGCUUCUCCACUGUGUAUUUUGCAUCUCUUUUCAUAUCUGGCAUAUAGUAAGAAACCCCUUGAACACUGUGUAAUUAUAAUUGAGCAUACUGAUUGAAGUCUUAUCCCUCCCAACACACCCACACUUCUGUACAUUUGUGGGAUGUACUACCUCUCAGUCUUCACACUGGAGAGGCACAACUGACUCCCUUAAUCUUGCCUAUCAUCCUUCCUACUUCUAACAGUGGCAUCAAUGGGCUUACUUUCUUUGGAAUCAAUGAGUAUGGUGAAGAGAUGAAUGAUUUUUGUCCCCUUUUCAUUUGUGCAACAUGCUAUUUAUUAAAGAAAAUGAUAUUUUGGAUGGACUUAGAGGAAGUAUUUUAGAAGAUAAUUCUUAAGUUUGAAUAAUGAAACUGAAUGGCAGUUACAAGUCCACACAGUAAAUCUUAUAAUAGAUUUUUCCCAACCAAAUUUAUUUUCUAAGUGAUCAAAUUUUGUGAACUUACAAAUACUUGUGGAUAUAUAUCUGGCACUUUCUGAUUACAAAGAAGAAGGAGGAGGAGGAGGAGAAGGAGAAGGAAGCAGAGAAGGAGAAGAAAGAAAGAAAGAAAGAAAGAAAGAAAGAAAGAAAAGAAAAGAAAAAACUGCACUGAAUUGUCUUUUUCAAGGCCUGUUCUGUCUUCAGGAUGAAUCACCAGGGCAUAUUAUUGAUCCCUGUCAGUGCUAGAUCAAGUCCUCAGGUCUUUCCACAAGGAAUAUCUUUAUUAUAAAA